GAUGAAGAACGCAGCGAGAUGCGAUAAGUAAUGUGAAUUGCAGAAUUCAGUGAAUCAUCGAAUCUUUGAACGCACCUUGCGCUCUUUGGUAUUCCGAAGAGCAUGCCUGUUUGAGUGUCAUGAAACUCUCAACUCCCAACUUUCUUAAUAGUCGGUUGGGAGCUUGGACUUGAGCGUUGUUGGUCUUUAUUGACCGGCUCGCUUGAAAUGAAUUAGCAGAUCCUUUUUGUAAUCGGUUCCACUCGACGUGAUAAGUAUUACGCCGAGGACAUCUUAACGGAUGGCCGAGAUAAAGAAAGUCUUUAGAUCCGCUUCUAAUUCUUAGAUAGAGCUUGCUCUACUAAACCCCUUUUAUGAUCUGGCCUCAAAUCAGGUAGGACUACCCGCUGAACUUAAGCAUAUCAAUAAGCGGAGGA
rnacentral:misc_RNA from 1 species